GGCGUGUUGGUCAAGCGGCUAAGACAUCCGACUUUCUAUCGGAGAUCACGGGUUCGAUUCCCGUACACGCUACCA
rnacentral:tRNA from 1 species